UUCCGGUUGAUCCUGCCGGACCCGACUGCUAUUUGGGUGAGAAUAAGCCAUGCGAGUUGAAUGGGAUACCUAAAGUUCCCAUAGCAAACUGCUCAGUAACACAUGAUCAACUUACCCUAUAGAGAAAAAUAACCUCGGGAAACUGAGGAUAAUGUUUCAUAAUUGAAUUGGCUUGGAAAAGUUUUUCAAUGAAAAGGAUAAAAAAAAUGGUUUUUAUCUGCUAUAGGAUAGGAUCGUGUUCGAUUAUGGUUGUUGGUGAGAUAAUGGCUCACCAAGCCGAUAAUCGAUAGGGGCCGUGAGAGCGGGAGCCCCGAGAUGGGUACUGAGACAACGACCCAGGCCUUACGAGGCGCAGCAGGCGCGGAACCUCCGCAAUACACGAAAGUGUGACGGGGUUACCCAAAGUGUUCAAUAGAACUGUGGUAGGUGAGUAAUGUUCCCUACUAGAAAGGAGAGGGCAAGGCUGGUGCCAGCCGCCGCGGUAAAACCAGCUCUUCAAGUGGUCGGGAUAAUUAUUGGGCUUAAAGUGUCCGUAGCCGGUUUAGUUAGUUCCUGGUAAAAUCGGGUAGCUUAACUAUCUGCAUGCUAGGAAUACUGCUAUACUAGAGGGCGGGAGAGGUCUGAGGUACUACAGGGGUAGGGGUGAAAUCUUAUAAUCCUUGUAGGACCACCAGUGGCGAAGGCGUCAGACUGGAACGCGCCUGACGGUGAGGGACGAAAGCCAGGGGAGCGAACCGGAUUAGAUACCCGGGUAGUCCUGGCCGUAAACGAUGCAUACUAGGUGAUGGUACGGCCAUGAGCCGUAUCAGUGCCGUAGGGAAACCGUUAAGUGUGCCGCCUGGGAAGUACGGUCGCAAGGCUAAAACUUAAAGGAAUUGGCGGGGGAGCACCACAAGGGGUGAAGCCUGCGGUUCAAUUGGAUUCAACGCCGGA
rnacentral:rRNA from 1 species